rnacentral:rRNA from 1 species
UACAGGGGGUGCAAACGUUGCUCGGAAUUAUUGGGCGUAAAGCGCGCGUAGGCGGCUACUUAAGUCGGAUGUGAAAGCCCCUGGCUUAACUGGGGAAGUGCACCCGAAACUGAGUAGCUAGAGUACGAAAGAGGGUCGCGGAAUUCCCGGUGUAGAGGUGAAAUUCGUAGAUAUCGGGAGGAACACCGGCGGCGAAGGCGGCGACCUGGGUCGAUACUGACGCUGAGGCGCGAAAGCGUGGGGAGCAAACAGG